GCCUGCUUAGCAUAGUGGCUAAUGCGUUGCACUUGUACUGUUUGACAAAUGCAAAGAUCACAGGUUCGAUUCCUGUAGUAGGCA